ACUGACCAAAAACUGCACACCUGCACUUUUUUCUCCAGGCGUUUGACCACGGCCGAAAGAAAUUAUGACAUUGGCAACAGGGAGCUUCAGGGAGCUUCAACAGUCCAAACAGGGAGGUUUGGACUGAUCAUAAGAACCUUGAGUAUGUCAAGUCCGCCAGACGUCUAAACUCCCGGCAGGCUUGCUGGUCGCUCUUCCUCACCCAGUUCAACUUUACUCUCUCGUAUUGGUCGGGAACAGUGGAACAGUGAGGCCAAUUCCAUCAUUGUGUAAAGACCUGGAAGUAAAAGCUGAAAUGUUCAUCUAUUGUCUCAUAUUCAUCUUUUGAUGUCAAACCCAAACGUGUUCAGUCUAUGGCAAAAAAAGGGAUUGGCCUCACUGUUCCAACACUAUAAGAGGACACUCUGGGCUCUAUCUUGCACUCAGCACAAUUGACUUUGUACACUGGCGCUUGUACAAUUCCUAUUUUGCACUCGACGCACAUUGGAAUUUUCCCUCCACAAGCGCAGGUCCCUAAAUUGUUGAAUGAACUUGCGCUCUGGGGCGGUUCAGCGAAAAGAGGAGGCGUGUUCCGGCGCAAACGUUCCCUGGUGCUAUUUUGCUGUUUCAAAAUACAAUUCCGCCACAGACCAGGAAAAACCUAAUCUAAAGUCAGUGGCGCUUAUUCAGAUGCUAUUUUAAGGGCGCACACUUGGCCAUAAUGUAGCACAACGUGCAUCCACUUUGCUUCUCUCAUCUACAAGGAAGCCGUUCCCAUUUUUGCUAACAUGAAUUGUGGAUGUGUUGAUGACAUAAAUGAGGAAAUAUUACAGGACUUCAGGAGACAUGAUGUUGAACUGCAUGUGCUGAUGCCAUUUAACCCAAAUACCCCAGAAGAGCUGCAUCAUCUAUAGUGAGGCAUGCGACACGCGCUACGGCGGGAUUGGACACAUGAGGGUCCGGGAGUGGCAAUGCACAACAGGAGCAAGUGGUGCAUUUGGAGGCCCACGCUCCAUGGCUGCAGCAAUCCUCUCCAAACUUGAGGAGAUGCGUCUGAGAGGCCACAGCAACAUCGCCACCCGGUCAAGACAGGCAUUAACACCUUGCCGCAUCCCGGACAGCUCCCGCUCCAGCAUGUCAAACCCAGUUUGCUGGAGUUGCAGGAAAGGAUGGUCCUCCAGUCUGACGAUGCUGCCACGUCUAGUGGGUCUGGAUCCUCUCCUCUGUGUUAGCGCUGCUCAUGUGAAAUCUGAACUUAAUUUGUAAGUGUUCCGGGAGGUUGGACAGCUAGUGUAUUGGGUUGGGUGCCGAUUUAUAAGCCCCCAAAUAUGCAGCGAUGUACUCUGCUGGCGUCAGGUCCUGAGUAGAGGCAGAUCCACCUCCAGUUACACUGCGUGUCCAAUUGUUGCAAGCAAGCUUGGACUUCCCCCGUCUUCUGAAAUUGUUGUAGCGCUUGCGGCACUGGUGCGAUGUCCUGGGGAUGCCAGCCGUAGAUACAAUUGUGGCGAUUUCCUCCCAUGCCUGUUUAACUAAAACUAGUUUGGGUGGGUUUCUCACAAGGACAAGGAUGUCAGUCUCCUCGGCUGAGAAUCGCUCCUGGUGUGCGCCAGGUAAAUCCACCAUUAUAAUAGCAAUCUCCCAAGGAACAAGCGCCCCUGCAUUUAAAGGGAAUGUGAGAUGAUGCUCUGAUUGUUUUAUUCCAGCGUUACGCCCAAACCACACCUAUGACCCACAAAGCUACUUGCGGUUUGCGUUUGAUACUUGUGUUUCAGAUCGGCAAGAUAGGGCCACCGAAGUGUAUGACUGAUUCACUGUGAAACAAAGGUGACAGAAGUGAUAUUCACAGUAGAAGUAUCAGUGUUUGCAUAGUGGAGGCCAUCCUGGAAUCCUGAACUCGGGAUAUGCGAGGUUGCGAGUAUCAAAGUAAAAUGUCCAAGGUCUUUUCCGUGACUACCAAAAUUCCGAGUUCCAACUACAAAUGGAUUGCAGCAUAACACCAUAUCUGAACGAUGCCUUGAUGUCAAAAAGCCGACAUACACCUCCCAUGUAUUUAUCUUUGAGGGUAUCUAUAGAUAAAUAGAUAAAUAAAACAUCUUAUUAAAUUUGCAUUUCAACCAGGGCCAUCUAUCCACCACAAACUGAUGUGCUGCCUCCAGGUGUCGUUAAAUAUUUGUGUGAGGGUGUGGUAUGUGAUGAUCCCUCGCCAAACCCUUUUUCUGUCCACAUGGCAACCAUGCUGCCACGCUAGCGAGAGGAAGCUUACACAAGAGACCUUGUGUUCACAGUUACAUUUCACAACAGAGCAGCUAAAAUAGCAGUGGGUCGACCUGUGAACUCACGAGUAAUGAGAGCGCUUUUGGGGAAGAGUGAGAGACUGAUGAAUAAAAGGAAAACAGAUAUGGUCCUGCUGCCACUUUGCCCUUUCAGCAGAGUUUAAUUAAAGAACAUUUUGAGAAACAAUGUUAAACUUCUACUAUAACUACUAUUAUUUUUUAUUUUCUACCCAUUUAAUCCCAUUUGCAAGCCCUCAGAUGAAGGUUAUAUAUGUAGAAUAUGUACAGCAGUGACCUUUAGUAUUUAAAAUGGUUCCUGCUAUCACAAGUCAAAACAGAAUUAUAACAUGCUAAACUUAUAGUUGUGUUACCCUGUGUUCACGCACACGUACAUCACUGUCCCAUUGUCUUUGUGCACAAAGUGAAUUUUCUUUUAAAACUGACCUUGCUUUAACCGCUCUGCAGCAGCUGGUUCAUCUGUGCUGCUCGUUUUCUUGCCUUGCUUUAAUUCUUUAAUUCUUAAUUUAUGUGUCUUUGUACACAGUCCUGUUAUAGUGAUAUAAGUUACUGACUUAUAAAUAUACCGUCAAUCACCCUCAGCACUGACCUUACUUUUCUUCAAAAAUGGGCUACUGUGCUCACAGUCACUUUACUUGCUGGUAAUAAUAAUCAUUUUGUAAUAGGUAGAUAAUAUUAUAAUAAUAACAACACAAGCGUGUAGUAAUAAGGAUAUAACACGUCACUGAUACCAUGCAAUAUUCAGGUUAUGGUUUGUAAGAAUGACUAUAGGCUACCAUCACUGUGAUACCUUUACAUGAAUAUUUUUAUUAAUAAAAGUUACAUUAUUACAUUUUC